rnacentral:rRNA from 1 species
AUGAGUGAGGUGACAGAAGAUGAGGGAAAAAUGAAUGUCCAAGAUAUCGCCAGUGCAGAUGAUAAGAGGGAUAUGUUCAUGCAGAUAAUACAAAUGACUUUUACGUCUCACGAGGCUGCGUAUGAUUUCUACAACAGCUAUGCUAGAGAUAAUGGUUUCAGCAUUAGAAAGAAUAAGGUCAGGUAUAGCAAAACUGAAUCACGUCAUAUGCGUUAUAGGCGGUUUGUUUGUUCCAGACAAGGAAAACGUGAUAGCAGGUUGCUAACCGAGGAAGGACACAGCCGUAGGCUCAGACCGAGACACACUGCCACUACGAAGCGCACCUGA